rnacentral:rRNA from 1 species
GACGAACGCUGGCGGCGUGCUUAACACAUGCAAGUCGAACGGUAAGGCCCUUCGGGGUACUCGAGUGGCGAACGGGUGAGUAACACGUGGGUGAUCUGCCCUGCACUUCGGGAUAAGCCUGGGAAACUGGGUCUAAUACCGGAUAGGACCACUGCCUGCAUGGGUGGUGGUGGAAAGCUUUUGCGGUGUGGGAUGGGCCCGCGGCCUAUCAGCUUGUUGGUGGGGUGAUGGCCUACCAAGGCGACGACGGGUAGCCGGCCUGGGAGGGUGACCGGCCACACUGGGACUGAGAUACGGCCCAGACUCCUACGGGAGGCAGCAGUGGGGAAUAUUGCACAAUGGGCGCAAGCCUGAUGCAGCGACGCCGCGUGAGGGAUGACGGCCUUCGGGUUGUAAACCUCUUUCAGCACCGACGAAGCGCAAGUGACGGUAGGUGCAGAAGAAGGACCGGCCAACUACGUGCCAGCAGCCGCAGUAA